UUCUUUUUGGUUUGAAGCCACAAUUCUUGACCUCGAAGACGUUUCCUACCAGCACGCCAGCCACGCAACUGUCAAAGCUAACCCUAACUCUGCCGCCGGCGAAACCCAUUUCAACCUCAAGAUUGUCUCCCCGAAAUUCGAAGGCCUGAACCUCGUGAAACGGCAUCGUUUGGUCUACGACGCCUUUGCCGACGAGCUCCAAUCUGGACUCCACGCCCUUUCUAUCGUUGCCAAGACUCCUUAAGAGCUCGAAUCUCAACCCAAACGUCGACCAGAGUAAAAUCCAAAACUGGGUUUUUUUUUGUCACUCAUUUCAGCAACCAGCCUUCUCUCCCAACUCCGAAAUUCCAGCAUUUCAUUUCUUUUUCCCUUGCCUUUCCCCAAUCCCUCAUUGCCCACUCUUCCACCCUGCUGAUCCCCAAGGCCAGUGACCGUAUCUAACAGCAAUGGAAGCUGGAGGUAGCAGUAACGAUAAUAGGUGGGGUGAAUCUAGGCGUACAUGGAGUAGAGGUGAGGAAGAAGCUUUGCUGGUUCUUUUAGAUGAAGCUGUAGCUAGUGGGCAACGUUGUGACACGGGAGCAUUUAAACCUGGUACACUUAAUAUGAUUGAGCGGCAACUGGCUGAAAUGUGUCCUAACUCGGGAUUGCGAGCAACUCCACAUAUUGAAUCGAAGCUAAAAAAGUGGAAGAAGCAAUAUGGCAUCAUAUACGACAUGUUGAACAAAAGUGGAUUUGGAUGGAAUGACACUCUUAAAUGUGUGGAGAUUGACAGUGACGAUGCUUG